rnacentral:lncRNA from 1 species
AGAGGAGGAACAAGUACGUGUACAUUGCAGCACACACCUGUCACCAGGUGACCUAGGGUGUUCUCCCCUGCAGCAGGGAUAUUGUCUGGAAGCCAGUUUCCGGGGUGUCCUAAUCUCGCCUGUGAGACCGGAUAAGGGUGCAGGAACUUGGAGGCCCGGGACGUGACCCGGGCUCCAUCUGUAGCCUGAAGGCUGCCUGGCUUUGGGUGCACAGCUGGUCCAUCCAUAAAGUGAAAACGCUGGUCUAAAGCUUUGAUUCUCAAAGUGGGUCCCACGGGGGCCCCAUGGGUUUCUCGGGAGAUGGUAAAGGGAGAGAAGUGAGCAGAAUUUUAACCAUCCCACCCAUUCAGUCAGUCAAUCAACAAACAUUGCUUAUGCACCUAUUGCAUACCAGACCCAGGGAGAGUGCAGGGAGCAAGUGGGUGAAUCAGACAAUACAUGACUUUUGUAAGGGAACAAUUCUUCAGGCCUCUGAGCCCAAGCUAAGCCACCAUCUCCCCUGUGACCUGCACGUGUACAUCCAGAUGGCCUGAAGCAACUGAAGAUCCAGAAAAAAAGUGAAAAUAGCCAGUUCCUGCCUUAACUGAUGACAUUCCACCAUUGCGAUUUGUUCCUGCCUCACCCUAACUGAUCAAUUGACUUUGUGACAAUACACCACCCCCUUGCAAUAAUGUACUUUGUGAUAUUCCCCCGCCCUUGUGAACAUACUUUGUACAAUAUACCCUCGUCACCCUUGAGAAGGUGCUUUGUAAUAUCCUCCUCCCUGCCCUUAAGAAGGCACUUUGUAAUAUUCUCCCCCUCCAGCCCUUAAGAAGAUACUUUGUAAUAUUCUCCUCACCCUUGAGAAUGUACUUUGUAAGAUCUACCACCUGCCCGCAAAAAAUUGCUCCUAACUCCACUGCCUAUCCCAAACCUAUAAGAACUAAUGAUAAUCCCACCACCCUUUGCUAACUCUCUUUUCGGACUCAGCCCGCCUGCACCCAGGUGAUUAAAAAGCUUUAUUGCUCACACGAAGCCUGUUUGGUAGACUCUCUUCACACGGGCGAGUGUGACAUUUGGUGCCGAAGACCCAGGACAGGAGGACUCCUUUGGGAGACCGGUCUCCUGUCCUCGCCCUCACUCCGUGAGGAGAUCCACCUGCAACCUCAGGUCCUCAGACCAACCAGCCGAAGGAACAUCUCACCAAUUUCAAAUGGGGACCCCACUGGAAAUCAGACCGUCCAACUAGCCUGGCAGCCACUCCCAGAGCCCCUGGAACUCUGGCCCCAGGCUCUCUGACUGACUCCUUUUCAGAUCUUCUCAGCUUAGCGGCUGAAGACUGAUGCUGCCUGGUCGCCUCGGAAGCCCCCUGGACCAUCAUGGACGCCGAGCUUCGGGUAACUCUCACAGUGGAGGCCUGUUUGGUGACUUUCUUCGCACCGACGUGCGUGACACAAUGUUUGCAGAAUAUGAAGGUGGCUGUCACGUGGUCUGGGCUUCCUGGAGGUUUGAGCUGGGAGCUGAAGCCCCGUAGGAGUUCUGUAAGUCAAAAGGGAAGAGAAGAGCAUUCCACGUAGAGAAAAGAAUCUGUGCUCCAGGCGCGGUGGCUCACGAUUGUAAUCUCAGCACUUGGUGUCAGGCCUCUGAGCCCAGGCUAAGCCAUUGUAUAUCCCCCGUGACCUGCAUGUAUACAUCCAGAUGGCCUGAAGCAGCUGAAGAACCACAAGAGAAGUGAAAAUAGCCAGUUCCUGCCUUAACUGAUGUCAUUCCACCAUUGUGAUUUGUUCCUGUCCCACCUUUACUGAUCAAUUAACUUUGUGACAUUUCUUCUCCUGGACAAUGAGUCUCAUGAUCUCCCUACCCAGCACCUUGUGACCCCUGCCCCUGCCCGCAAGAGAUAACCAUCUUUAACUGUAACUUUCCACUACCUACCUAAAUCCUGUAAAAACUGACCCACCCCCUAUCUCCCUUUGCUGACUCCUUUUUCGGACUCAGCCCGCCUGCACCCAGGUGAUUAAAAAGCUUUAUUGUUCA